GACGAACGCUGGCGGCGUGCUUAACACAUGCAAGUCGAACGGGCCCGCCCCUGUUUUUGGGGGUGGGUUGAGUGGCGAACGGGUGAGUAUCACGUGAGUAACCUGCCCCCUGCUCCUGGAUAACUGCUUGAAAGGGCGGCUAAUACGGGGUGUGCCGGCUGGUCCGCAUGGGCCUGGUCGGGAUAGUUUCAUCUUCGGGUGUUUCGGUGGGGGAUGGGCUCGCGGCCUAUCAGCUUGUUGGUGGGGUGAUGGCCCACCAAGGCGGUGACGGGUAGCCGGCCUGAGAGGGUGGGCGGCCAGACUGGGACUGAGACACGGCCCAGACUCCUGCGGGAGGCAGCAGUGGGGGGUAUUGCACAAUGGGCGGAAGCCUGAUGCAGCGACGUCGCGUGAGGGAUGGAGGCCUUCGGGUUGUGAACCUCUUUCUCCGGUGGUGAAGGCCCUGUCCGUUGCGGCGGGGUUGACGGUAGCCGGGUAUGAAGCGCCGGCUAACUACGUG
rnacentral:rRNA from 1 species